AGUGAACGCUGGCGGUAGGCCUAACACAUGCAAGUCGAACGGCAGCACAGUAAGAGCUUGCUCUUACGGGUGGCGAGUGGCGGACGGGUGAGGAAUACAUCGGAAUCUACUUUUUCGUGGGGGAUAACGUAGGGAAACUUACGCUAAUACCGCAUACGACCUACGGGUGAAAGCAGGGGAUCUUCGGACCUUGCGCGAUUGAAUGAGCCGAUGUCGGAUUAGCUAGUUGGCGGGGUAAAGGCCCACCAAGGCGACGAUCCGGAGCUGGUCUGAGAGGAUGGUCAGGCACACUGGAACUGAGACACGGUCCAGACUCCUACGGGAGGCAGCAGUGGGGAAUAUUGGACAAUGGGCGCAAGCCUGAUCCAGCCAUACCGCGUGGGGGAAGAAGGCCUUCGGGUUUUAAAGCCCUUUUGUUGGGAAAGAAAAGCAGCAGGUUAAUAACCCGCUGUUCUGACGGUACCCAAAGAAUAAGCACCGGCUAACUUCGUG
rnacentral:rRNA from 1 species